UAUCAGUCCAACUCCUCAGUUAAUAGCCAGGGAAACAGAAGCCCAGGGAGAUAAAGACGGUGGCAGAGGAGGAAUUCUUUCUUAGCAGAUCUUCCAUUCCUAAUCCAGGAUCAUUUCCAGGGCUCCCAGACUCGCCGCAGGGCACAGCACCCUCCAGAAAAACAGGUCACUGAAAAUAAUAUCAGGGGAGGAAGUCAAGAAGGCUGCUGUAUUCAUUCUGCUUUAAUGAGUAGAGGUAAGAAUUCUCAAGGCAUAAACACCAGCCCUGUGUGGGGCCCUGUUUGGGGCAGGUGCUGAAAUUUCAGUUUUUUAUAAAAGCAAGAGGCUGGCCUGGGCAGAGAUGGGCCAGGAAGGUCAUGGACUGUGAGAACCACAGAGACAAAGUGGGGCAGGUGGAGAGAGGAGAGGCCUGGUCAGCGGGACAAAGCCUCCCUGAGGACAGGAUGGCUCAUCCAGAUCACAGCACCCAGUCUCUGCCAACAGGGUCAGGUUGGGGGAGAUGAGGACUGAGCCCUCGCAGGGGAGCACGUCAGGCAUGGGGUCUACAGGGGCAGUGGGAGCCCCUGGAAUACUCCUGGAUUCUGGCUGGGAAGGGGCCUGGGCAGAGGUGUCUUCUCUCAGCUGUGGCUGUGGGCAGGUGAGGUGUCCCUGUGACAGCCCAGAGGGGGCCCAUGGGACAGGUGCCAGUGAGUCUAAACUCACUGAGACAGCCUCAGAAACCUGAGCCAGGAGAGAAUCGGGAGCAGAACUGGUGGCAGCUCCUCAGAUCUGGGGCUUGGUAUGGGACUGAAUUGGAGUGACUCCCUCCUAAUGAAUAGAAAAAGGUGAAAAUGACAGCAUGCGAUUUUGGGGACCAGGUCAGAAAAAGCACUGAGGCUUCCAUCUUGGUUGCUCUCUCUUAAGCUCUCCUCUCUCUUUCUCUCGGCUCCCUUGCUUUGGAGGGAGCCAGCUACACAGAAAUUCAGGCAGUCUAUGAAGAGGCUCACCUUGUGCCAGUGACCACUUGAGUGAGCCAUCUUAGAAGUGGCUCUUCCAGCCCCAGACAAACUUUCAGAAACUAAAGCCCUGCUUCACAUCCUGACUAGAACCUUAUGAGAAACUCUGAGCCCAACCCACCCAGUUAAACCACUCCUGAAUCCCUGCCCCACAAAAACUGUG
rnacentral:lncRNA from 10 species